rnacentral:rRNA from 1 species
GGUGAACGCUGGCGGCGUGCCUAACACAUGCAAGUCGAACGGAACUUUUACGGAUUGAGACUUCGGUUGAUUGAGGUUUAAGUUUAGUGGCGGACGGGUGAGUAACGCGUGAGUAACCUGCCUUUCACAGGGGGAUAACGUUUGGAAACGAACGCUAAUACCGCAUAACAUAGCGGAGCCGCAUGACUCCGCUAUCAAAGAUUUUAUCGGUGAAAGAUGGACUCGCGUCCGAUUAGGUAGUUGGCGAGGUAACGGCCCACCAAGCCGACGAUCGGUAGCCGGACUGAGAGGUUGAACGGCCACAUUGGGACUGAGACACGGCCCAG